rnacentral:rRNA from 1 species
UACGAAGGGGGGCUAGCGUUGCUCGGAAUCACUGGGCGUAAAGCGCACGUAGGCGGCUUUCUAAGUCAGGGGUGAAAUCCUGGAGCUCAACUCCAGAACUGCCUUUGAUACUGGAGAGCUUGAGUCCGGAAGAGGUGAGUGGAACUCCGAGUGUAGAGGUGAAAUUCGUAGAUAUUCGGAAGAACACCAGUGGCGAAGGCGGCUCACUGGUCCGGUACUGACGCUGAGGUGCGAAAGCGUGGGGAGCAAACA